GUAGGUGGCAAGCGUUGUCCGGAAUUAUUGGGCGUAAAGCGCGCGCAGGGCGGUCCUUUAAGUCUGAUGUGAAAAGCCCACGGCUCAACCGUGGAGGGUCAUUGGAAACUGGGGGACUUGAGUACAGAAGAGGAAAGCGGAAUUCCAAGUGUAGCGGUGAAAUGCGUAGAGAUUUGGAGGAACACCAGUGGCGAAGGCGGCUUUCUGGUCUGUAACUGACGCUGAGGCGCGAAAGCGUGGGGAGCAAACAGGAUUAGAUACCCUGGUAGUCCACGCCGUAAACGAUGAGUGCUAAUGUUAGGGGGUUUCCGCCCCUUAGUGCUGCAGCUAACGCAUUAAGCACUCCGCCUGGGGAGUACGGCCGCAAGGCUG
rnacentral:rRNA from 1 species